CAGGUGCUGCAUGGCUGUCGUCAGCUCGUGUCGUGAGAUGUUGGGUUAAGUCCCGCAACGAGCGCAACCCUCGUCCUUAGUUGCCAUCAUUUAGUUGGGCACUCUAAGGAAACCGCCGGUGAUAAGCCGGAGGAAGGUGGGGAUGACGUCAGGUCCUCAUGGCCCUUACACGCUGGGCUACACACGUGCUACAAUGGCGGUGACAGUGGGCAGCAAACCGGCGACGGUGGGCUAAUCUCCAAAAGCCGUCUCAGUUCGGAUUGUUCUCUGCAACUCGAGAGCAUGAAGGCGGAAUCGCUAGUAAUCGCGGAUCAGCAUGCCGCGGUGAAUACGUUCCCAGGCCUUGUACACACCGCCCGUCACACCAUGGGAGUUGGAUUGACCCGAAGGCGCUGAGCUAACCCGCAAGGGAGGCAGGCGACCACGGUCGGUUCAGCGACUGGGGUGAAGUCGUAGCAAGGUAGCCGUAGGGGAACCUGCGGCUGGAUCACCUCCUU
rnacentral:rRNA from 1 species